UACGUAGGGUGCGAGCGUUAAUCGGAAUUACUGGGCGUAAAGCGUGCGCAGGCGGUUAUAUAAGACAGAUGUGAAAUCCCCGGGCUCAACCUGGGAACUGCAUUAGUGACUGUAUAGCUGGAGUGCGGCAGAGGGGGAUGGAAUUCCGCGUGUAGCAGUGAAAUGCGUAGAUAUGCGGAGGAACACCGAUGGCGAAGGCAAUCCCCUGGGCCUGCACUGACGCUCAUGCACGAAAGCGUGGGGAGCAAACAGGAUUAGAUACCCUGGUAGUCCACGCCCUAAACGAUGUCAACUGGUUGUUGGGAAUUCACUUUCUCAGUAACGAAGCUAACGCGUGAAGUUGACCGCCUGGGGAGUACGGCCGCAAGGUUAAA
rnacentral:rRNA from 1 species